rnacentral:rRNA from 1 species
AUGCAACGCGAAGGAACCUUCCAUCCCUUGACAUCCAGAGAAGAGCCUAGAGAUAGACUUGUGCCUUCGGGAACUCUGUGACAGGUGCUGCAUGGCUGUCGUCAGCUCGUGUUGUGAAAUGUUGGGUUAAGUCCCGCAACGAGCGCAACCCCUAUCCUUAUUUGCCAGCGAGUUAUGUCGGGAACUCUAAGGAGACUGCCGGUGAUAACCCGGAGGAAGGUGGGGACGACGUCAAGUCAUCAUGGCCCUUACGGGUUGGGCUACACACGUGCUACAAUGCAGUGACAAUGGGUUAAUCCCAAAAAACUGUCUCAGUUCGGAUUGGGGUCUGCAACUCGACCCCAUGAAGUCGGAAUCGCUAGUAAUCGCGUAACAGCAUGCCGCGGUGAAUACGUUCCCGGGCCUUGUACACACCGCCCGUCACA